GUCUAGCAGCUCAACUGAUUGAGCACGAGAAUCUUAAUCUCACGGUUGUAGGUUCGAGCCCCACGUUGGGCA